GAGUAACACGUGACUAACCUACCCUCGAGUGGGGAAUAACUUCGGGAAACCGAGGCUAAUACCGCAUAACAUCUUCUGGUUGAGAUACCGGUUGAUCAAAGCAGCAAUGGGCUUGAGGAGGGGGUCGCGGCUGAUUAGCUAGUUGGUGAGGUAACGGCUCACCAAGGCGAUGAUCAGUAGCCGGCCUGAGAGGGCGCACGGCCACACUGGAACUGAAACACGGUCCAGACUCCUACGGGAGGCAGCAGUGGGGAAUUUUGCGCAAUGGGGGAAACCCUGACGCAGCAACGCCGCGUGGAGGAUGAAGUCCCUUGGGACGUAAACUCCUUUCGAUCGGGACGAUUAUGACGGUACCGGAAGAAGAAGCCCCGGCUAACUUCGUGCCAGCAGCCGCGGUAAUACGAGGGGGGCAAGCGUUGUUCGGAAUUAUUGGGCGUAAAGGGCGCGUAGGCGGUGCGGUAAGUCUGAUGUGAAAUCUCCGGGCUCAACUCGGAGCUUGCAUCAGAAACUGCCGUGCUGGAGUGUGGGAGAGGUGCGUGGAAUCCCCGGUGUAGCGGUGAAAUGC
rnacentral:rRNA from 1 species